rnacentral:sRNA from 1 species
AAUUUAAAUCACACACAUUCCGUCACAUGUUCCGGGGUGCCUCAACAGUAAAACCACUUGCCUUAAGCAACUGGAUGUUAGGGGUCGGAUUCAUGGGGAGUGUGGAGGCCUAAC